rnacentral:tRNA from 1 species
UGCCCGGUGCGCAGGCGACGGUUACUUCGAUUCGGGAUCGAGUGGUCGCAGGUUCGAGUCCUGCCGGGGUUUC